rnacentral:ncRNA from 1 species
ACGGAAGCCCGGUACGGCCAAGGUCGAUCCGGAAGAGAAGGUUCGAGCUCCCGAACUGGGCGACCCAGCACGGCACCCGGCACCCACGCGGAGUCACAGCCACGAUAAAGGCAGAAGUGUUGCGGGCCUGCGUAAUUGCGAAGAGCGACCGGCCUCGACGGCCCUUUGGGUGGGGCUGCAGUCGGACGCAUCGCAAGAUCGCCGAGGCCAACCCACGCAACCCAGAGUUGCACGCUUGGUAACCGAGUUCCGUGCUAGCGGGCGGCGAGCCGAAGUUCUUCGGAUCGUCGCUCGCUUUAUCUU